rnacentral:rRNA from 1 species
UACAGAGGGUGCAAGCGUUAAUCGGAAUUACUGGGCGUAAAGCGUGCGUAGACGGUUAUGUAAGUCGGGUGUGAAAGCCCCGGGCUCAACCUGGGAAUGCCAUUCGAGACUGCAUAGCUAGGGUGCGGAAGAGGGAAGCGGAAUUUCCGGUGUAGCGGUGAAAUGCGUAGAUAUCGGAAGGAACACCGGUGGCGAAGGCGGCCUUCUGGACGGAUACUGACGCUGAUACGCGAAAGCGUGGGGAGCAAACAGG